UACGUAGGGUGCGAGCGUUGUCCGGAAUUAUUGGGCGUAAAGAGCUUGUAGGCGGUUUGUCGCGUCUGCCGUGAAAAUUCGAGGCUCAACCUCGAACUUGCGGUGGGUACGGGCAGACUAGAGUGUGGUAGGGGAGACUGGAAUUCCUGGUGUAGCGGUGAAAUGCGCAGAUAUCAGGAGGAACACCGGUGGCGAAGGCGGGUCUCGUGGGCAGUAACUGACGCUGAGGAGCGAAAGCGUGGGGAGCGAACAGG
rnacentral:rRNA from 1 species